rnacentral:tRNA from 1 species
GUUCCUGUAGUGUAUUGGUUAUCAUGUUUGCUUUACACGCAAAAGGUCUCUGGUUCAAAACCAGACAGAAAUG